CGUAUGGCGGAUGCCUAGGCUCUCAGAGGCGAUGAAGGACGUGAUAAGCUGCGAAAAGCUACGGGGAGGGGCACAUACCUUAUAAUCCGUAGAUAUCCGAAUGGGGCAACCCACNANGUUGAAGACAUAGUACCGAAAGGGGCAAACCCGGUGAACUGAAACAUCUAAGUAACCGGAGGAAGAGAAAACCAUAGUGAUUCCGUUAGUAGUGGCGAGCGAACGCGGAUUAGCCCNAACCAGUAAUGUUACGGCAUUACUGGGGUUGUAGGACCCCGAUAUUCAAUGCUAAGUGAAUUAGAACUGUUUGGAAAGACAGACCNAAGAAGGUGAUAGUCCUGUAAAAGUAAGNNNAGUUAUUGAUAGUGGUAUCCUGAGUANNNNGGGACACGANUNNUCCUGUAUGAAUCCACCGGGACCAUCCGGUAAGGCUAAAUACUCCGAGAG
rnacentral:rRNA from 1 species